UCGGGAAUUUUGGGCAAUGGGCGAAAGCCUGACCCAGCAACGCCGCGUGAAGGAUGAAGUAUUUCGGCAUGUAAACUUCGAAAGAAUAGGAAGAAUAAAUGACGGUACUAUUUAUAAGGUCCGGCUAACUACGUGCCAGCAGCCGCGGUAAUACGUAGGGACCAAGCGUUGUUCGGAUUUACUGGGCGUAAAGGGCGCGUAGGCGGCAAUUCAAGUCAUCUGUGAAAUCUCCGGGCUUAACUCGGAACGGUCAGAUGAUACUGCUUUGCUAGAGUGCAGAAGGGGCAAUCGGAAUUCUUGGUGUAGCGGUGAAAUGCGUAGAUAUCAAGAGGAACACCUGAGGUGAAGACGGGUUGCUGGGCUGACACUGACGCUGAGGCGCGAAAGCCAGGGGAGCAAACGGGAUUAGAUACCCCAGUAGUCCCUGAGCGGGCUGGCAAGGCGCAU
rnacentral:rRNA from 1 species